GGUAGCAUAAUCAUUAGUUUUUUAAUUGAAAGCUGGAAUGAAAGGUUUGAUGAGAAAAUAACUGUCUCUAUGUAAAUGUUUUUGAACUUCAAUUUUAAGUGAAAAAGCUUAAAUUUUUUAUAAAGACGAGAAGACCCUAUAGAGUUUUAUAUUUGUGUAGAUUUAAUGGUUGUUGAAUUUAUUCUUUUAUUUUUACUUAAGUAUUUUGUUGGGGCGAUAGGGGAAUUUAAUAAACUUUCUUUUGUUUUUUACAUUGAUUUAUGAUUAUUUGAUCCUGAGUUUUGGAUUACAAGAUUAAAUUACCUUAGGGAUAACAGCGUAAUUUUUUUUGGAGAGUUCUUAUCGAUAAAAAAGUUUGCGACCUCGAUGUUGGAUUAAAAUUAAAUUUUGGUGUAGGAGCUAAAAUUUUAGGUCUGUUCGACCUUUGAAAUUUU
rnacentral:rRNA from 1 species